CCUACGGGUGGCAGCAGUGAGGAAUAUUGGUCAAUGGACGAGAGUCUGAACCAGCCAAGUAGCGUGAAGGAUGACUGCCCUAUGGGUUGUAAACUUCUUUUAUAUGGGACUAAAAUGUUCCACGUGUGGGAUUUUGUAUGUACCAUAUGAAUAAGGAUCGGCUAACUCCGUGCCAGCAGCCGCGGUAAUACGGAGGAUCCGAGCGUUAUCCGGAUUUAUUGGGUUUAAAGGGAGCGUAGGUGGAUUGUUAAGUCAGUUGUGAAAGUUUGCGGCUCAACCGUAAAAUUGCAGUUGAAACUGGCAGUCUUGAGUACAGUAGAGGUGGGCGGAAGUCGUGGUGUAGCGGUGAAAUGCUUAGAUAUCACGAAGAACUCCGAUUGCGAAGGCAGUUCACUGGACUGCAACUGACACUGAGGCUCGAAAGUGUGGGUAUCAAACAGGAGUAGAUACCCUUGUAGUC
rnacentral:rRNA from 1 species